GCAUGUAGGGUUGGGUCUUCAUUACAAAGAUCUGCCCACUAGCUGAGUACACUGGUGUUUUUCCAUUCACCUCUGCCCAGCAGGACAAGAUGAUGAAAGUACAGAGAACUUGUGGGUCCAGAUUUGUGUCAGAAAGGGGGUUAGUGGCUUGCUUAGGGCCAGGCAGAGGGCACAUUGGAAGGAAUUCUCUGUUCCCGGUGACAGCCCUUGGGAUUGCUGUGCACCCAGAGUUGCGGAGUAAUUUAUUGGCUUCUGAUAACUAUAGUAUUGGAUAACUUACCAACAUUUUAUUAAAAAUUUUAAACAUAUAGGCAUGUUGAAAGAAUUUAUACUCACCACCUAGAUUUUGCCAGUAUCACAUAUCUGUGAGUCCUAUUAAUACAUUUUUAAUUUUUUUUUUUUUGAGACAGAGUUUCUUUUACUCAGGCUGGAUUGCAAUGGUGCAAUCUCAGCUCACUGCAACCUCUGCCUCCCAGAUUGAGGCGAUUCUCCCACCUCAGGCUCCUGAGUAGCUGGGACUACAGAGGGGAGCCACCACGCCCGGUUAAUUUUUGUAUUUUUGGUAAAGAAGGGGUUUCAUCAUGUUGCCCCAGGCUGGCCUUGAACUCCUGGGCUCAAGUGAUCCUCUGGCCUCAGCCUCCCAAAGUGCUAGGAUUACAGGCAUGAGUCACCGUGCCCGGCCAGCCAUUAAUGCAUUUUUAAUAUAUUUUUAGUCAAUUGCAGACAUCGUACAAUUUUCCCUAAACGUUGCAACAUGCCUAUUCAUUAGAGUUCAGUAUUUUUCAGGAUUUUUUUUUUUUGGUAAAAUUUACAAAGAAAUGUGGAAAUCUUAGUUGUGCAUUAGUGAGUUUUAACAAAUACUUAGGCUUUAUCACAACCUCUAUCAAGAUACAGAACAUUGCUGUCAUUCUAGAAGCCUCUCUAAUGUGCCUUCCCCAGUCAAUCUCUUUUUCCAUGGCCCCAACAGCCAUCAUUCUUUCAAUACUUUAAAAAACAUUCUUAUCUGAAGGGAAAUUUCAUACGUGCCAAAGUCAUCUCUAGAUUUCUCCAAGUCUUAACCACGCCAGAGUACAGCCAAACCUAGCCCUUCAUGCAUCUCAGAUAAAGUUCCAAGAUCUUGGUAUUUUAUUCUUUCCCUGUUUCAACUUAGCUCCAACUCUUUUUUUCUUUUUUCCAUCAAGAUUUAAACCUGUCAUCCUCGACAUUUGGGGCAGAAACUGCUGAAAUGAAGGAGGACUUGCCAUCAAAGAACUGGCUGAAAGGAGUUAGCACACCACUCCUCUGCCCUGAACAGCUCUAAGCAAGAGGAGGAGCCUGUGGCAGGGCGUGAUAUGAAGUCCUCAGAGAUAGAGUGCCAAGAGUAGAGGGGGUAUCCUGGAACUUCAGUGUUUGCAGAGAAGAGAGACAGUUGUAGGACUGGCUUUCUCAGCAAAUGCAGCAAUAAUAGAAGCUGCCAGCAGCGCUGGAGGCAGAAAGGUGGCGGCUGCAAAAUGCUGGCAGCAAGGAGGGCAGCAGAGUGCACGGCAGGGACCCAGCGAGACAGCGGUGCAGAUGGAGAAAAAUUCUUCUGGGGAAUAAAGCAUAGAGAAAUGAAGAGCUAAGAUACAGAGGAGCUUCCCAAGACCAUGUUUGAACACUUGUAAACAGCCAUGCCUGGACUUCUGAGUUAAACGAGUCAGUAUAUUUCCUUUAUUGCUCAAAUCACUUUUUGUGUUGGGUCCUUUUUGAAAGGUGGCCAAAUCUGC
rnacentral:lncRNA from 1 species